GACGAUGCGUAGGGGUUCUGAGAGGAAGGUCCCCCACACUGGUACUGAGACACGGACCAGACUCCUACGGGAGGCAGCAGUGAGGAAUAUUGGUCAAUGGCCGCAGGGCUGAACCAGCCAAGUCGCGUGAGGGAUGACGGUCCUAUGGAUUGUAAACCUCUUUUGUCAGGGAGCAAAGGACGCCACGUGUGGCGUUUUGCGAGUACCUGAAGAAAAAGCAUCGGCUAACUCCGUGCCAGCAGCCGCGGUAAUACGGAGGAUGCGAGCGUUAUCCGGAUUUAUUGGGUUUAAAGGGUGCGCAGGCGGAAUGUCAAGUCAGCGGUAAAAUUUCGGGGCUCAACCCCGUCGUGCCGUUGAAACUGGCGUUCUUGAGUGAGCGAGAAGUAUGCGGAAUGCGUGGUGUAGCGGUGAAAUGCAUAGAUAUCACACAGAACUCCGAUUGCGAAGGCAGCAUACCGGCGCUCAACUGACGCUCAUGCACGAAAGCGUGGGUAUCGAACAGGAUUAGAUACCCUGGUAGUCCACGCAGUAAACGAUGAAUACUAACUGUCCGGGCCGAUUGAGGUCUGG
rnacentral:rRNA from 1 species